rnacentral:rRNA from 1 species
UUUAUGGAGAGUUUGAUCCUGGCUCAGGAUGAACGCUGGCGGCGUGCCUAAUACAUGCAAGUCGAGCGAACGGACGAGAAGCUUGCUUCUCUGAUGUUAGCGGCGGACGGGUGAGUAACACGUGGAUAACCUACCUAUAAGACUGGGAUAACUUCGGGAAACCGGAGCUAAUACCGGAUAAUAUUUUGAACCGCAUGGUUCAAAAGUGAAAGACGGUCUUGCUGUCACUUAUAGAUGGAUCCGCGCUGCAUUAGCUAGUUGGUAAGGUAACGGCUUACCAAGGCAACGAUGCAUAGCCGACCUGAGAGGGUGAUCGGCCACACUGGAACUGAGACACGGUCCAGACUCCUACGGGAGGCAGCAGUAGGGAAUCUUCCGCAAUGGGCGAAAGCCUGACGGAGCAACGCCGCGUGAGUGAUGAAGGUCUUCGGAUCGUAAAACUCUGUUAUUAGGGAAGAACAUAUGUGUAAGUAACUGUGCACAUCUUGACGGUACCUAAUCAGAAAGCCACGGCUAACUACGUGCCAGCAGCCGCGGUAAUACGUAGGUGGCAAGCGUUAUCCGGAAUUAUUGGGCGUAAAGCGCGCGUAGGCGGUUUUUUAAGUCUGAUGUGAAAGCCCACGGCUCAACCGUGGAGGGUCAUUGGAAACUGGAAAACUUGAGUGCAGAAGAGGAAAGUGGAAUUCCAUGUGUAGCGGUGAAAUGCGCAGAGAUAUGGAGGAACACCAGUGGCGAAGGCGACUUUCUGGUCUGUAACUGACGCUGAUGUGCGAAAGCGUGGGGAUCAAACAGGAUUAGAUACCCUGGUAGUCCACGCCGUAAACGAUGAGUGCUAAGUGUUAGGGGGUUUCCGCCCCUUAGUGCUGCAGCUAACGCAUUAAGCACUCCGCCUGGGGAGUACGACCGCAAGGUUGAAACUCAAAGGAAUUGACGGGGACCCGCACAAGCGGUGGAGCAUGUGGUUUAAUUCGAAGCAACGCGAAGAACCUUACCAAAUCUUGACAUCCUUUGACAACUCUAGAGAUAGAGCCUUCCCCUUCGGGGGACAAAGUGACAGG